rnacentral:lncRNA from 1 species
AUUAAUUUAAGAGAAAUCCUAUAUAUCCCAUUAAAAAAAUCAUAGAGAAACAUUUCCAGAAUGGUGGAGUAUGGAUCUUUGAAUAUCUGAUUCUGCAUAAAAUCAGUGAGGACACUGGCAGGAAUGAUCAAAAUAAACUUUUUUAAACUCUGGAAAUUAACCAAACGAUUGCAACAACCCAAAGAAAAUGUAUUUGAGAAAAAAGCUGACUUUCCGUGAUCAAUAAGGUUUGUGGUGUUUUAACUUGUCCUGUCCCCAUUUUCUUCUCAGCUCCACAGUAGCCUUGAAAAUCAGCAACCUUGAGACCACAGUAGCUGUGACAACCAGUAGCCUAGAAACCACUGAAGGAAUUUAGAGUCCCCCCAAGAUAGGUUUGGAGUUAUCCAAGACGCCCCAUCCCCAGAGAUUUGUCACUCCUUGACCUGUCUGGCAGCUCCCUGGAAUAGUCCCAAUCACAGGGCUUGUCUUCAUUUAACCCAACUCAGGUCACUCAAUGAGGAAACUAUCCUCAGGUUGUUUGUUAUAAACAAUUGGUGGCAAUAAUUUAAAUAGCACAGUUGCCUGACAUGGCUAUACUAGUUGGGACAAAUGAGACUGGCCAGAAAACUUAAAAAAAGGGGAGUGUGAUGUCUACAGAGGCUUUGAAAAGUGCCAAAAUAUUCUUGGGAGCUAGAAAGUCAGGUAAAGGUGAGAGACUUAUGCUUCAACCACUUAAGGAAAUCCCUGUCUAAUCAUAUGCUCAAGACUAAAGUAACCAAGCAGAGAUUUUGGUGACUGCAACAUGACAAAGAACACAGACUAAACAGAAUUAGUCGAGGAAAGGUACUAGACAUACCACCAUUGCAAUAAAAAUAACAAAUAGUAACAAACUCUACAAAGAUGGGUGUGGGACAAAUCUGAUUUGCAGAGUUGCCACCUUAUAUUAUUUAAAUUUUCCAGUUUUCAACAACAACAAAAGAUGUGAAGAAACAGCAAUUACAGCCGCCUAUAUAUGGGGGAAAAAACUUAGAAAACAGAAACCAUCCCUGAGAAAACCCAGACAUUAGAUCUAUUAAACAAAAAGUUUGUCAACCUUUAAAUAUGCUUUAAAAACUAAAGUAAACCGUGGACAAAGAACAGGAGAAAGGAAAAUAAUGUAUAAACAAAGUGAAAGUAUCAGUAAAUAGAAAACAUGAAAAAUUCUGGAGCUGAAAAAUUUCUUAGAGGGGUUUACAGAUUUAAACAGGCAGAAGAAUCAGCAAAUUUGAAAAUAGGACAAAUGUAAUUAUCCAGUCCGAGGAACAGAAAGAAAAAAGAAUGAAGAGUGAACAGAGCUUGAGGGAUCUGUGGCAUUUUAUCAAGUUACCAACAUACGCAUUAAAGGAGUUCCAGAAAAUGAAAAGAAAAAGGCAGAAAUAAUAUUUGAGGAAAUAAUGGCUGAGACUUCCCAAAUUCAAUGAAAUACAUGAGCUACACAUUCAAGAAGAUCAACAAAUUAUAACUAGGAUAAACUCAGAGAUCUAUUACUAAACACAUUACAAUCAAGCUGUCAAAAGCCAGAGACAAAGACAGUCGUUAAAGCAGCAGGAGAAAAACAACUUAUCACAUACAAGGGAUCCUGUGUAAGAUUAAAUGCCUACCACUCAUCAGAAACUACAGAGGUCAGAAGGCUGUAGAAUGACAUAUUCAAAGUGCUAAAAGAAAAAAACUUAACAGAGAAUUUUAGAUCCAGCAAAACUAUCCUUCAAAACUAUAAGAAAGGAUGAGCAUGGUGGCUCACACCUGUAAUCCCAGUACUUUAGGAGGCUGAGGCAGGAGGAUUGCCUGAGCCCAGGAAUUUGAGACCAGCCUGGGCAACAUGGCAAAAAGCCAUCUCUACAAAAAAUACAACAAACAGCUGGGUGUGGUGGCAUGUGCCUGUGGUCCCAGCUACUCAGGAGGCUGAGGCAGGAGGAUCACUUGAGUCUGGCAGGUUGAGGCCUUGAUUGUGUCACUGCACUCCUACUUGGGUGACACAGUGAGACACCCUCAAAAAAAAAAAAAAGUGGAAAUUAAAACAUACCCAGAUAAAAACUAAGAGAAUUCACUGCUAGCAGACCUGCCUUAAAAGAAAUGCUAAAAGACAUCCUUCAGACUGAAAUGAAAGGACACUAGACAAUAACUCCAAUCCACAUGAGGAAAUAAAAAACAUCAUUAAAGGUAACUACAUAGGUAAAUAUGAAAUAUAGUAUAAAUGUAUUUUUGUUUGUAAUUCUUUUCCUGUCUGACCUAAAAGACAACUACAUAAAGCAGUACUUAUGAAAUAAUGUUGAUAGGGUUAUAACUUAUAAAAGAUGCAAUUUGUAUGAUGAUAAUAGCACAAAGGAGGAGGAAGGGAAUAGAGCUAUACCAAAGUUUUUGAGUAUUAUUGAAAUUAGGUUGGCAUUAAUCUGAACCUACUUUAUGUUAAGAUAUUAAUCAUAGUCCCUAGGGCAACCUCUAGGAAAAAAAACUCAAAAAAUACAAUAAGAGGAACAAGAAGGAAAUCAAAAUGAUAUACUAGAAAAUACCUAUUUAAUACAAAAGGCAGUAGUGGAGAAAUUAAAUCAAAAGACAUAAGAUGCAUAAAAGGAAAAGAGCAGAUAUCCCACAAGUGACUCCCACCUUAUCAGUAAUUAUAUUAGAAGAAAACCAGUUAAAUAAUUCAGUCAAAAGACAGAUUUGCGGCUGGGCACAGUGGCUCACGCCUGUAAUCCCAGCACUUUGGGAGGUCUAGGUGAGCGGAUCACUUGAGGUCAGGAGUUCAAGACCAGCCUGGCCAACAUGGUGAAACCCCAUCUCUGCUAAAAAUGCA